rnacentral:lncRNA from 1 species
GCCCACUAUCAUGAAAGCAGUUGCAUCCACAUCGAAGAUCAGAAUCAAGAGAGUAGUAGUAAAAAGGGUUGGUAGAAGAAGAUGAUCUGCAUUUGGAAAGUUUAAAGAUGAUGAGAAAUAGAAAGGGGUUGCAGCUAGUCAUGAGGAAGAAAGCUGCUAUGAAGGAGAAAAUAGGAGGUGCUGCCACUUGAGAGCCUAUACUUGGUAGUUGC